ensembl:snoRNA SNORA62 Small nucleolar RNA SNORA62/SNORA6 family
AUCACAGAUUCACAGCAGAAAGACAGCUAAUCUAGUGUGUUACCUAUGGAGCAAGUUGGCUGCAAACACCUCAAGGAGGGUCUCUGGCCAAAUGAGUAGAAUCUGAUAGUAAUCCUUGCUAAAAGU